AAACUUUCGUGACUGGCCGAAAACGAGUCGCAUUGGAGCAACUACACCGAAAAACAAAGCUUACGCACACAAUUCUGUGGGAGCUGUGACGUUGGCGUUCUGCGGUUGAGCAGUGCUAUCUGUGGUAGAAGCGGUGUUUCAUGUUUGGAAGCGUGGUCACUGCAUGGGUUUGUUUUCGUAGCAGUGACUGAAAGCAUGGCUUUGUUUUCUUAACAUUUGUGGCGGAAAUCUUGUUCUCACUGCCAUAUGCGAUUCGGAUUGUUGUUGAGAAUCUGCUCAAAAUGCCACACAAGUGCUGUAUGCCCUAUUGUAGGGGAAACUACGACAACGGUUUAAAAGUUAGCGUCUUUUCAUUCCCGUCUGAUGAAGCAUUAAGAUUGAAAUGGAUCGCUGCAGUUCAUAGGAAUGACUGGGAACCCAGUAAACAGUUCGUUAUAUGUGAACUGCAUUUCACUGCAGACGACAUUGAGAAAAUUACCAGUGCUUACGACCCAAAACUGGCAAACUCUUUACAGCACCUUUGGACCGUCCACGUUUAAAGAAACGUUCGUGAAAAUUUAUCGUAAAGGAUGCUGUACCAUCAAAGUUGCCAGGAUGACCUACGUCUUUAUCUUCAAAACAAGCACCAGCUCGAGAAGAUCCAGAGAGUCGCGAACGUUUGGAGAACCAAGCACUUGAGAAAGUCAUUGAGCAGAGUGUGGAAUCACACAAAAAAUGAUGGAGAAGAGUUCAUUUGCUAGUUUAGAAGAUUUUUAAUCAAAAUUAUCUGAUUGUGAAAAGCACAGUGACUCGGUCACGGUAACCAAAUCAAAUAAUUUGUGUCUUGUGUUAAAGGAUGCUCCUUAUCUAAAUGUUGUGUGUCAUGUCGUUAUAAAUAGUGAUUUAGUGUUAAGUGCAUUUGUGAAGGAAGCUGAGCUAAAUUGUGCUGGUAAGAUUAAAUUAUCAAACCAAGUAAGUGAUACUGGUACAGUUAGCAAUAUUUUGAAAGAGUUGUAUGUGAUGUUUCAUAUAAAUGAGGCUCCAUUUGAGGCAAGUUUGUCUUGCAUUGAAGACAUUUUGGAAAACUUGUAAGAAAAAUUACCAGAAAGUGAGCAUAAAAUUAAAUUUUUGAAGGAACAAGUUUCAUUUCCAAGAUUUAAUAGUCUAACAGAGAUUAGGUACGGGAGUGUUUCAAUGAUUUUAUGGUCAUUAGCUUAUUCUAUCAGGCCACAUGCAUAUAUGUUUUUGAGGAGUGCUUGUAAUUUUUCCAUUCCAAGUCCCAGUACUUUGUCAAAACUUUGCAGUAAACUUCCAACUAACCCAAUCAUUGAGCUUCAGAGUGAGCAGUUUCUCAGUUACAUACCACAAAAAGUUGGUGCUUUAUCUGUGAAUGAUAAAACUGUCCUGUUGAUGGAUGAGAUUUAUUUAAAGUCACAACUUGACUAUAAAGGUGGCAAUGUUGUAGGUGGUGCUUUUAACACAGAUGUGGUUUUGUGUGCAACUAGUGCUUAUGUUUUUAUGAUCCAGAGUAUGGAUUCAGUGUACAAAGAUGUGGUGCAUAUUCUCCCAGUUCACACAAUUCAAUUAAACUAGAAGCAGUGGGAUUUCAGGUAAUAGGAGUAGUAGCUGACAAUAAUGCUAUUAAUAAGAAAGCUAUUUCGUACUUUUCUUCCCCCCCCCCCCUCCCUCCUAGUGUACAGAUAAAAUAUGUUCAUCCUGAGCAGACUUCUGCAGACCGCCCACUUUACUAUUUUGUCGAUACUGUACACAUUUUAAAAUGUAAAUGGAACAACUGGGGUAACGAAAAGGACCAAAUUAUAUGCUUUCCUUCUUUUAUUGAUAGCUUGAAGGUAGGUCUUGCUUCUGUUACAGCACUGAAGGAACUAUAUUUACUAGAAAAAGGUGAACUGUUGUAGUAUGGCAGCACUUUAACACUUAAGUCACCAUAUCCAAAUCCUUUUGAAUGGCAAAAUGUGAAAUUAGCAUUGCAUAUUUUUAAUAACAUGACAGUUGUUGCAAUGCAACAACUAGGUGCAAGAAAGAAAUUGAAAACUGGGAGAGUACUGCCACAUUUGUAAAAAUAAUAAGUCAGUGGUUUGAUAUUAAAUGUUGAAACGCUGCUGAAGGGUAAAAGGCUACGAAAUGUUUACCAAGAACAGAUUACUCUCAAUUCAAAACAUUCUUUUUGAGAAACUUUCUCUCGUGGUUGUGUUCAUGGGAAGAUUGCAAUGGAGGAAAGAAAUUGACCAGAGAAACACACUUUGCUCUCAAACAUACUACUGCAGCCUUUAUUGAUUUUAGUGAAUACUGGCUGUGUGAGAAGAAGAGAACAUAUUUGCUCUUUGGGAAAAUACAGACAGGUUUGGGAAAUACCGCCAACUUAAUGGGGGAAGUUACCAUGUAUUGCUAAGGCAGGUAUUUGAAACAGAAGGAAAAUUAAGGGCCCAGAGUAUGUUUUCUCUUGUAUUAAAGUCCAAAGUGUUUGGUGAUGUUGUUGUUAGACCUAAUAAUGUUGAUGCUGCUUGUUGUAGAAUCCCAGGCUUUCAAGAUAUCGACAACCCAGAGCUGUUAAAUGUAGUAGUUGAUGAUAAUGAUGUUGAUGAAGUAGACGAAAACACUUGGCCAUUACUCCAUUAUAUUGCUCACAUCAAGUGCAUCUAAAAUAAAUUGUCCAUAUUGUGAAGGGUUUGUAACAUCUGAAGAAACAAGACAAGCAGAUGAUUUGAUAAUGGCAAGUGACAGGGGAGGUUUAACAUACCCCAGCAGUGAUGUAGUCACAUGUGUUUCCUAUGUAUACUUAACACUACAAAAAAUUCUUAAAGAAAAGGAAAAAUUUGUUCCUGCAACAAGUAAAUCAAAGAAAUGUGCUUGUGAAAGAAGCAGCCAUUAAUGUGCCAAAAGACUUACUUCUUUGUUUCCAUUGUUUAAAAGGUCACACUCUUGAAUCUAUCAUACAUUGUAUAUUGACUUGCAGUGCAAAUAUUUUACUAAACAACUUUGUAAAACGAAAAAAUGAUGUGUGUGUGACAAAAGAUGUACGUAUUUACAAAAGAAUGAAAAAGUCUUGACAUCUGACUCCUUGUCACAAAAAAUUGUGAAAUAAAUGUUUUCUGGACAUUUACUUAUUAAAGUGAAGCUUGUU